GAUGCCAGACAACGGACUCGACUCUCCUCGACUUCAGCUCCAAAGGCGGGCACGUUCGGCAAUUAGUUGAACUUCGUUGCUCGGGCCGACGACACGAGAAAACCGACCCCCCAAAUAAAAAACAACAACAACAACACGAGACAAAAGAGAAAUAACAAAAACUCCAACGGGCGCGCAAAAAAAAAAAUUAAAUAUAUAGCCAAACGAGAGAGUAAGAGCGAGAUAGAGUCAUAGAUCACAACAAUUUGUUAUAAAUUAUUUGCAACAAAAAAAACGAGCGAAAGAGCGAAAGAGAGAGCAGGUGUAAAAGUUUUAUUAAAUCCAAAGAAAACGCAAAUUGUUGUUUGAAGAAAAAGGAUAAAAGCGCUUCCUGUUGAAUUUUUUUUGUCUGUGUGUGUGUUUCUGUUCUGUGCGAGUGUGUGUGCGUGUGUGCUUGUCUGCCAGGCUUGCCACCUUUAACAACAAAAAAAAAAAACAAUAAAAAUCAAACAAAAACAAUUUUUUUUGUGUGGCCACUCCCAAAAAAGAAAAACCCGCAAAAAUUAAAAAUAAAGGAAAAAUUAUCAGCAGCAGCAACAACAACAUUCAACGGAGUCUCAAGGCUCUCCAAAAUCCAGUAAAAGUUUAUAUAAAAGGUAAGUUUUUCAUGUUGCAAGCGGCAAAAAAUCAAUUAAUUUAAUUACAAAUUGCAC